rnacentral:misc_RNA from 1 species
AUGCAUUGUGGGAAUGACACAGUUUAUGAGGGAGGAAAAUGGCUUCCGAAAGGGUUUCUGUGUGAGGGAUAACUGUUACUGCCCUCUCUGGGAAGGACACCGGAGCCCCUCAGUAUGAUUCUCAACGAUUCUUGUCACAUAAACUUGAGAUGAGAGAGAUGUACAUUUUCAUGACAUAUCUAAACGGAAAGAUUAGGAUUUUAUGUUGCAGAAAAUAUGGAUAAACGUAGGCGGAUCUCUGUGGAGUGUGUGUUUUACCUAGAAUUAUAACAACAGUUUGUGUAUGAUCUUUCCCUGUGGUGGUGGUUAGUAGGAAUUUUUACUUUUUAAAAGAGAGAAGAUAUUUAAAAAAGGAUUAGAAAACCAAAAGAGCCAUUUCAUUCGGAUAUUUUCCCCUUAAAUUUAUCGUGUGUAGAGUUCUUCAUAAUAUAAAGCAUUCAAAAUGAUGUGUGACGUGAUGCCAACGAUUUCGGAAGAUGGGUCGAAUGACCGGGAAGCUCAGGGUGCUCAAGAUGAUGCUAAUUUCGAACAGCUUAUGGUUAACAUGUUGGACGAGCGCGACAAGUUGAUGGAAACCUUACGUGAGACCCAAGAAGCUUACAGUCUAGGCCAAGCAAAACUAGGUGAAGUUGAAAGAGAAAGGGACGCAUUUCAAAAACAGUUGCAAGCCACCACCCCUCAGGAAUUUGCUACUAUAACUAAAGAAUUGAGUGCUGCUCGAGAACAGCUAUUAGAAAGGGAGGAAGAAAUAUCAGAAUUGAAAGCAGAACGAAAUAACACUAGAUUACUGCUGGAGCACCUGGAGUGCCUUGUUGCUCGACACGAACGUUCACUCAGAAUGACGGUUGUGAAACGGCAGGCUUCGUCCCCAGGUGGAGUUUCUAGUGAGGUGGAAGUUCUUAAGGCACUAAAGUCCCUUUUUGAACAUCAUAAAGCACUUGAUGAGAAGGUCCGGGAACGACUACGGGUAUCUUUGGAACGAGUUGCAGUAUUAGAAGAAGAAUUAUCUAAUGCUAAUCAAGAACUGUUCACACUGCGGGAGCAGCAAGCAAAGUCCAGGCAUUCAAGUGGGAGCACUGAAGAUGGUAAACUCCUUAAGGGAACCUCCUCGGAGGGUACACAAGAUGGUGAUAAUAAAGAUCUUCAUCCUAAGAGGCUAUCAAAUGGAUCAAUAGACCCAGAUUCUGAUGUUAACCGUGUGAUAGAGCUUCAGGAAACAGUAGAAAAACAGAACUCAGAAUUAACUUCUACUAGGACAAACAUUUUAGAAUUAACAAACAAAUGUACAGAAUUGGAAGAAUCUCUAACGUCUACUCAGAAAGAUUUAAUAAAGUCUCAAGAACAAUUAGUUAAACUUCAAAGAGAUCUUCGAGAGUCUGUUGCACAAAAAGAAGAUCAAGAAGAAAGAAUAGCAACUUUAGAAAAACGGUAUAUUAAUGCUCAGAGGGAGUCCACGUCUUUACAUGACUUGAAUGAUAAAUUAGAAAAUGAACUCGCCUCAAAAGAAUCGCAGUUAAAGGCUAGUGAAGAAAAAAUAAGAGUUAUUCAAGAAAAAUUAGAGUUGUCAGAACAGAAACUGCAGCAAUCGUUACGUAAGGCAGAAGCUCUACCAACAGUAGAGGCUGAACUCGCACAGCGAAUGGAAGCUCUUAAUCAGAAUGCUAGAGGAUCUCAGGCCGAGCAGCAACAUGGAAAUGCCCAAGAAAAAUUAUUAUCACUGGAACAAAGUCUCACUGACCAAACUAAUGAAUUACAAAGAGCACGUCAGAGAGAGAAAAUGAAUGAGGACCACAAUGCACGUCUUUCUGCCACAGUUGAUAAACUGCUGACGGAAUCAAGUGAGCGUUUGCAGCUCCAUCUUAAAGAACGAAUGCAAGCUCUAGAAGAAAAGAAUCAACUAACACAGGAGUUAGAACGUACCAGAAAGUUGCUUGAUGAAACUCAAAGUGAAAAGGAAAGAACUUACGAUGAUUUAUCUAGAGCAAAGAAAGAGCUAGAAGUCAUGAGAGUUCAACUUGAUCAACUCUCAAGGGCAGCCAUUGGCAGUCAAUAUCCUCCUAUGCCCCCAAAUGUUGUAAUUCAGGGAACCGGGGAGGACACUGUCUCUCGGAGGCAACAGCGUGGAAGGGAGCAGGCCCUUGUAGAGGAUCCCACUAAGGUGAACACACUGAAUGAACAGGAGUGGGAGAAAAUACAACAAGCACAUGUGUUGGCUAAUGUUCAACAAGCUUUUGAUACCAGUGACACUGAAGGGACCGACGACACAGAGUCCAUAUUUGGCGCUGUUGACUUACUUUCACCCUCUGGCCAUACAGAUGCACAAACAUUGGCCUUGAUGAUCCAAGAACAGCUGGAUGCAAUCAAUAAUGAAAUUAGAUUGAUACAAGAGGAGAAAGAAAGUACCGAACAGCGAGCAGAAGAACUGGAAAGCAGGGUAGGGAGUGGAAGUCUUGAUGCAAUAGCCAACAGAUGGCGCUCGGGUUAUGAGCGAUCGUCUCCACCACUUAGCGGGCGAUCAACGCCUACUCCAAGAUCAUAUCAGUCCAGAGAUUAUCUUCAAAAAUAUCAUACAGCACCUGCAGGUAUGUCUGCAGCACAUAUGCACACCUACUCGUCCUCUAGUCCACAGCUAGCUACAGGGACCGACUCCUCUGCAUCACAGCCUGCCGUUCAAUACAGUCGUGACGACAGUGCGAUUCCAGAAGAAGGUCAUCAAAUUAAAUGUGAAUCAAGUCCACCAACUCCUCGUUCAAUACGGUUAGAAAGGGUGGCAGCAGCUUUAGCGCAUAGUGACGAGAGAUAUGGACUGGAUCAGAACACAGUAAUAAGAAUCUCUUCAGAGAUGUCAAAUAAGUUGAGGAGGGCCGUAAUGAUAGACAGUGCGCAUAGCUCCCCAAGUCCUCUAAGCAGUGCCAAUAGCAGCCAAGACUCCUUGCACAAACACCAAAAGAAACGUGGUAUAAAAAGUUCCAUAGGCAGACUUUUCAGUAAAAAAGAAAAACAGAAGACCAAAGAUGCAAUGAUUAGAGGUGAAAAUAUGGCCACUGGUGGCCAAUAUGGAGAUGGUUUGGAAGCAGGUUCAUCAGAUACACUUGCGUUGGGCUUAGGGCAAUCUGAAUUUGAUAGAAGAAAGAAAAAGAAGCAUGAAUUAUUGGAAGAAGCAAUGAAAGCUGGCACGCCAUUUGCAUUGUGGAAUGGUCCGACAGUAGUCGCUUGGCUUGAGUUGUGGGUUGGAAUGCCCGCAUGGUAUGUAGCUGCAUGUCGAGCUAAUGUUAAAAGCGGCGCCAUUAUGUCAGCUUUGUCGGAUCAAGAAAUCCAAAGAGAAAUUGGUAUCAGCAACCCUCUCCAUCGCCUUAAGUUACGUCUAGCCAUCCAGGAGAUGGUUAGCCUUACAAGCCCAUCAGCACCAAAGCCAUCACAAACGCCUUUGGCAUUUGGUGAUAUGAACCAUGAAUGGAUAGGCAAUGAAUGGUUGCCAAGUCUGGGUCUGCCACAGUACAGGAGCACGUUUAUGGAAUGCCUAGUGGAUGCACGGAUGCUAGAUCAUUUGACGAAAAAAGAUUUACGUGGUCAGCUAAAAAUGGUAGAUAGCUUCCACAGAACAAGCUUACAAUAUGGAAUAAAUAGUUUGAAAAAAAUAAAUUAUGAUAGAAAAGAAUUAGAAAGACGCCGAGAAGAGAGUUCGUCUGAAAUGAAAGAUGUACUUGUCUGGACAAAUGAACGAGUCAUUAAAUGGGUUCAGUCCAUUGGGUUGAAGGAAUUCGCAAAUAACUUAUUUGAAUCUGGAGUCCAUGGAGCUCUGGUAGCGCUGGAUGAAAGUUUUGACCAUAACAGUAUGGCAUUAGCUCUACAAAUCCCCACUCAAAAUACACAAACCCGACAAUUAUUAGAACGUGAAUUUAAUAAUAUGCUUGCUUUAGGGACUGAGCGCCGCUUGGAUGAGGUGCACAGCAGGCUACCGCUAAGCGUACAGGGACCACCCUCGUGGGAUGAGCACUUGAUCUGACCUACCAACUACUUCCAGUGACUUUUGAUACAGUGUUAAGUGUGACUCCCUCCUCCCUUCAAUGGGCGAAGGUGGGAAAUUCAGACGUGCUCCAUCUUGGCGUAAAAAAUUCAAAACUAAGGAUACAAAAGGCCGUGAAGGUUCCACAGAAGAAACUGUUGAGUCGGCAACACCAGCAUCAACAAGCACCACUACGACAACAA